rnacentral:rRNA from 1 species
UACGAAGGGGCUAGCGUUGUUCGGAAUUACUGGGCGUAAAGCGCACGUAGGCGGGUUGUUAAGUCAGGGGUGAAAUCCCGGAGCUCAACUCCGGAACUGCCUUUGAUACUGGCAAUCUAGAGACUGGAAGAGGUUAGUGGAAUUCCCUAUGUAGAGGUGAAAUUCGUAGAUAUUGGGAAGAACACCAGUGGCGAAGGCGGCUAACUGGUCCAGUACUGACGCUGAGGUGCGAAAGCGUGGGAGCAAACGGG